CAACUCUCAACAACGGAUAUCUUGGCUCUCGGAUCGAUGAAGAACGCAGCGAAAUGCGAUACGUAGUGUGAAUUGCAGAAAUACGUGAAUCAUCGAAUCUUUGAACGCAAAUUGCGCUCGAGGCUUCGGCCAAGAGCAUGUCUGCCUCAGCGUCGGGUU
rnacentral:rRNA from 2 species